rnacentral:misc_RNA from 1 species
UUUCCGUAGGUGAACCUGCGGAAGGAUCAUUAUUGGAUUUUGAAACUUCAGGCUGCUGCUGGCUCUCCUCGGAGGGCAUGUGCACGCUUGUUGUCCAUUAUUUCUCCCACUGUGCACAAAUUGUAGGCCUUUCAGUAGGCCUAUGUUGUUUUUCACAAUCUCUGAAUGUAAUAGAAUGGUUUUGAAUCUUGGGAAAUACAAUACAACUUUCAGCGACGGAUCUCUUGGCUCUC